rnacentral:rRNA from 1 species
AACGAACGCUGGCGGCAGGCUUAACACAUGCAAGUCGAGCGCAUCCUUCGGGGUGAGCGGCAGACGGGUGAGUAACGCGUGGGAACGUACCCUUUCCUACGGAAUAGCUCCGGGAAACUGGAAUUAAUACCGUAUACGCCCUUAGGGGGAAAGAUUUAUCGGGGAAGGAUCGGCCCGCGUUGGAUUAGCUAGUUGGUGGGGUAAAGGCCUACCAAGGCGACGAUCCAUAGCUGGUCUGAGAGGAUGAUCAGCCACAUUGGGACUGAGACACGGCCCAAACUACUACGGGAGGCAGCAGUGGGGAAUAUUGGACAAUCGGCGCAAGCCUGAUCCAGCCAUGCCGCGUGAGUGAUGAAGGCCUUAGGGUUGUAAAGCUCUUUCAGUAGGGAAGAUAAUGACGGUACCUACAGAAGAAGCCCCGGCUAACUUCGUGCCAGCAGCCGCAGUAA